UGGGGAAUAUUGGACAAUGGGCGAAAGCCUGAUCCAGCAAUGCCGCGUGAGUGAUGAAGGCCUUAGGGUUGUAAAGCUCUUUUACCCGGGAUGAUAAUGACAGUACCGGGAGAAUAAGCCCCGGCUAACUCCGUGCCAGCAGCCGCGGUAAAACGUAGGAGGCGAGCGUUAUCCGGAUUUACUGGGCGUAAAGGGCGUGCAGGUGGCUGUGUAAGUGGUGCGUGAAAGCGCUCGGCUCAACCGGGCGAGGGCGUGCCAAACUGCACAACUAGAAACAGGCAGAGGAAAGUGGAAUUCGGGGUGUAGUGGUGAAAUGCGUAGAGAUCCCGAGGAACUCCUGUGGCGAAGGCGACUUUCUGGGCCUGCUUUGACACUCAGACGCGAAAGCAUGGGGAGCGAA
rnacentral:rRNA from 1 species